GGAGGGUUGUUCUUAGUAUAAAUAUCCCCUACCUCUAAGCUAUCAGCAACCUUUGAUCAUAAGAUAAACUACAUGAUAUUGCAGCCGCACUGCUGAGUGCCUUACUCAACCUUUGUUCUUUCUUGUUCUUCAUGGACUUGUGAAGUGAAUCCUCUGGGUUCCCCUACUUCAUGCUCUACGGCUUCUGUUCGGCUGCGCCGUAUUGUAUGGAUUAGUUCCGGAUUGUGGUUCUGCGGUCGUUCGGAGAUCGAGUCAAAGUGUUCGCGGUUUCGGUGCCUCUCUCCCCGUCGCUUGGUCGCAUCCAACCUUUGUCAGGUAUAAAGCUAGUGAUCUACUGUUCACAGCAAGUUAUCCAUGUUCUUUUGAUCUACUGUNNNN
rnacentral:lncRNA from 1 species